CAGUCGCCGCGGUAAUACGAAGGGGGCUAGCGUUGCUCGGAAUUACUGGGCGUAAGGGGCGCGUAGGCGGACAGUUCAGUCGGGGGUGAAAGCCCGGGGCUCAACCUCGGAAUUGCCUUCGAUACUGGCUGUCUUGAGUAUGAGAGAGGUGUGUGGAACUCCGAGUGUAGAGGUGAAAUUCGUAGAUAUUCGGAAGAACACCAGUGGCGAAGGCGACACACUGGCUCAUUACUGACGCUGAGGCGCGAAAGCUAGGGGAGCAAAUGGGAUUAGAUACCCGUGUAGUCCCUGUCUCUUAUAC
rnacentral:rRNA from 1 species